rnacentral:tRNA from 1 species
UCCUGGUGGCUCAGUGGUAAAGAAUCUGCCUGCAGUGCAGAAGACCCAGAUUCAAUCCCUGGGCCAGGAA